rnacentral:tRNA from 1 species
GCCGGAGUGGCGGAAUCGGCAGACGCGCCGGACUCAAAAUCCGGUGCCCGCAAGGGCGUGUGGGUUCGAGUCCCACCUCCGGCA